AUCCCGCCUGUAUGUGUUAACGCGCGUUACGAUAAAUACGAAAAUAUAAAUUACAUACAGAAUGACUGACCAAGCUUUAACUGUAAAAUACGUCAGUCAGUCCUAAAGACAACCCAGCAUCUCCAGUAUCCUUUUUUGCUGCCAUAUCCUGAAGAUGUACAAGCUGGGUAAACUGGAGAAUUUACUUUUGCCUGGUGUUUCCUUACGGACAUGUGAACGAGUAUGCCCUGUGAUAGGAUGGCAUCCAGUUCAAGGGUUCCAGUGCCCACAACUUUGAUAGGUGCCACAUGACCCCGAACUGAAGUGGGUUAGAAAAUGGAUGGACUGAUAAAUGUAUGAAAGAUGCUAUAUAAAGCACGGUUUGAAAGAAAGCUGGAUUUUUGUUCUUCCUACAGAUUAUUUUCUAAACCAUAAUAGUAAAACCGUAUGCACUUUCAGCUGUAAGAACAACAAUAUUUGGACAUUUUUGGGUGAUUUAUUUUCAAGUCGUAGGGGACUUCUUGUGCUUUUUUUUCCUGUUUGCAGGUUUCUGGUGGCUCAUUUAGCUUAG